UGGGGAAUUUUGGACAAUGGGCGAAAGCCUGAUCCAGCAAUGCCGCGUGUGUGAAGAAGGCCUUCGGGUUGUAAAGCACUUUUGUCCGGAAAGAAAUCCUUGGCUCUAAUACAGUCGGGGGAUGACGGUACCGGAAGAAUAAGCACCGGCUAACUACGUGCCAGCAGCCGCGGUAAUACGUAGGGUGCAAGCGUUAAUCGGAAUUACUGGGCGUAAAGCGUGCGCAGGCGGUUUGCUAAGACCGAUGUGAAAUCCCCGGGCUCAACCUGGGAACUGCAUCGGUGACUGGCAGGCUAGAGUAUGGCAGAGGGGGGUAGAAUUCCACGUGUAGCAGUGAAAUGCGUAGAGAUGUGGAGGAAUACCGAUGGCGAAGGCAGCCCCCUGGGCCAAUACUGACGCUCAUGCACGAAAAGCGUGGGGAGCAAACAGGAUUAGAUACCCUGGUAGUCCACGCCCUAAAACGAUGUCAACUAGUUGUUGGGGAUUCAUUUCCUUAGUAACGUAGCUAACGCGUGAAGUUGACCGCCUGGGGAGUACGGUCGCAAGAUUAAAACUUAAAGGAAUUGACGGGGUCAUAGCUGUUUUCU
rnacentral:rRNA from 1 species